rnacentral:misc_RNA from 1 species
GAUGAAGAACGUAGCAAAAUGCGAUACUUGGUGUGAAUUGCAGAAUCCCGUGAACCAUCGAGUUUUUGAACGCAAGUUGCGCCCGAAGCCUUUUGGCCGAGGGCACGUCUGCCUGGGCGUCACGCAUCGCGUCGCCCCCCACAAUUCUCCGUAAAGGGAACGUGUGUUUUGGGGGCGGAUAUUGGUCUCCCGUGCUCAUGGCGUGGUUGGCCGAAAUUGGAGUCCUUUCGAUGGACGCACGAACUAGUGGUGGUCGUAAAAACCCUCGUCUUUUGUUUCGUGCUGUUGCUCGCAAGGUAAACUCUUUAAAAACCCCAAUGUGUCGUCUCUUGACGACGCUUCGACCGCGACCCCAGGUCAGGCGGGACUACCCGCUGAGUUUAAGCAUAUCAAUAAGCGGAGGA